GAAGGCUCAAAAGCUUCAAACCUUCCGAUAUUUCACCUGCUACCCUCCCCUGCUCUGCUGACCUCCCGUCUCUCUAGCUCGCCCUCUCUGCUGCUCUGUGAAGGUCCCUUCUCUCCCGUUGCCCUCUCUACUGCGCUGCGAAGGUCCCCUCACUUUCUUGCUGCUGCCCACAUUAUCUCUGCGAACUUCCCAGACGCUUUAGAGAGAAGAAAGCUUCUUCAUGGAGGUUAGCUUCUUCAUGGAGGUUUUAGUGAAGAGAGGGAAAGCCAAAUCACAAGAAGGAGGAUGUACCAAAAUGCGUGCUACCUCUUGGCUACUGAAGAAUUCCCAGUCAAUCAUGUCUUUCUUGUGGUAAAUUAGAAUUUUUUUCUUUUUUUUCUUUUUCAUUAGAUUUAUUCAUGCAAGAAAAUUUCAGGGGAAUAUCGGUUUUUGUUCAGUUGAUUUUUUUGGGUAUGUGAUGAAUAUUCAGAUAAUUAUGAUUUGGGUUUGGUUUUUUGCUCUGAAUACGUAUGCGUCAUGAACUUGCCGGAGAUUGGAAAAUUUAAUAAUUGAGUUUCUUUUAGCAUUUCUUCUUUUGUUUUUCAAACUAGGUUUUCUUUCUCAUUUUUUUAUGGCCUCAUAGCAUGUUCUAGAUGUUACCAAAUAAUAUUUCGUGGGUUUGAUUUAGAAACAUUUAAUUUGGAAUCUCAUGAUUUAAAUAACCAUUUUUUAUAUGAAAAUGGAGGGCAGUUACAUUUUUGCAGUUGUAUUUGGAAGGAUUAAUGGAUAACAUGAUUUAUUUUGGGUGAAUCUGUUUUUGCAUUGCUCUCAUCUUUUGCAGGUCUUUUGAUUGGUAAUGCUGUUGUAAGCAAAAUAGAGAAAUUGAACCUGAAUUAUCAUAUAACUGCAGCUAACUCUAAUUUUUGGUGGACUUCUCUUUAAUUGUAACAUCUUUUAAUAUUUUUGGGAGUGUAUUAUUUGAUUCUUCGGACAUAGUGACAUGAGAAGCAAGAUAAAAUCUGAAUGUGACAUGUAUUUGUAAUUUUUUUGGUAAGUGCUAAGAUUUGAGUAUGAGUUUGAUGCAUUAUGGCUUUUCUUUAUAGUAUGAACACAGAUUGUUUCUUAAUAGAUUGUGGUUUGAUAGAAUAUAUAUGUUAGAAUUUGUGGGCUUCUAUUUGCACAAAUCAUUGAUCGCUCUGUAAUAUUUCUUUCCUAGCAUUUAAUAGUCCUGUGAAAUCUAUAUUGCAUCAUGGUGUGUGCAAGUUGGUCCCUCUGAAGUAGUUGGU
rnacentral:lncRNA from 1 species